rnacentral:rRNA from 1 species
UACGAAGGGGGCUAGCGUUGCUCGGAAUCACUGGGCGUAAAGCGCACGUAGGCGGUUCGUUAUGUCGGAUGUGAAAUCCCUGGGCUCAACCCAGGAACUGCGUCCGAUACUGGGAGGCUUGAAUCCGGGAGAGGGAUGCGGAAUUCCAGGUGUAGCGGUGAAAUGCGUAGAUAUCUGGAGGAACACCGGUGGCGAAGGCGGCAUCCUGGACCGGUAUUGACGCUGAGGCGCGAAAGCCAGGGGAGCAAACGGG